rnacentral:rRNA from 1 species
CAGUAGCCACGGGAAUACAGAGGGUGCGAGCGUUAAUCGGAUUUACUGGGCGUAAAGCGUGCGUAGGCGGCUUUUUAAGUCGGAUGUGAAAUCCCUGAGCUUAACUUAGGAAUUGCAUUCGAUACUGGGAAGCUAGAGUAUGGGAGAGGAUGGUAGAAUUCCAGGUGUAGCGGUGAAAUGCGUAGAGAUCUGGAGGAAUACCGAUGGCGAAGGCAGCCAUCUGGCCUAAUACUGACGCUGAGGUACGAAAGCAUGGGGAGCAAACAGGAUUAGAUACCCCCGUAGUCCUGUCUCUUAUACA